rnacentral:rRNA from 1 species
CCCGGGCCUUGUACACACCGCCCGUCACACCACGGGAGUGAGCAACACCCGAAGCCGGUGGCCUAACCCGCAAGGGAGGGAGCCGUCGAAGGUGGGCUCGUGACUGGGGUG